rnacentral:rRNA from 1 species
ACUGUGAUUCCCUUAGUAACUGCGAGUGAAGCGGGAUAAGCCCAUCGUUUAAUCUUCCCGGACCAUGAACGGGACGAAAUGUAACGGUAUGGAUAGGUUCUCUACCAACAAUGUCUGAUCAAAGUCCUCCGGAUUGAGGUGCCAAAGAGGGUGACAGCCCCGUGUGUGAUUGGAUAGCGUUGGGUAUGUGACCGAUUCCGAGAGUCGGGUUGUUUGGGACUGCAACCUAAAGUAGGUGGUAAACUCCACCCAAGGCUAAAUAUUGACACGAAACCGAUAGCGAACAAGUACUGUGAAGGAAAGUUGAAAAGAACUCUGAAAAGAGAGUUAAAAGUACGUGAAACCGCUAACGGGGAAGCGGAAGGCAGUGUCGAGAUUGAGUAAGUGAGUCGGUUCAAGUGGCGUUUAGUGUGUCGUGUUGGCGGUGUGUAAUGUGCAUUUGGAUGGGCUAGCUUUGCUUGAUGCGUCAGGACUAUUGGUGUGUGAUGGUUGUUCAAUCGUUAGCAUGGCUAUCACGGAAUAGACAAAUAUUUCGUGGUUGCGGCUGGUGAUCCGCCUCGUGUGCUGAUAUGUAUGUAAUGUAGCGUUGGUGAUGUAUUACGGUACGGUAUGAUCGGUUGGUGCUAUGGGAUGCUUCGUGCUGGUCACAUUGUGGCUACGUAGGGAGAAAUCGUGUAGUAGUUCAACAACCAGUGCUAGCUCUUGACGUGAUACCUAACUUUC